UGGGGAAUAUUGCACAAUGGGCGCAAGCCUGAUGCAGCCAUGCCGCGUGUAUGAAGAAGGCCUUCGGGUUGUAAAGUACUUUCAGCGAGGAGGAAGGCGUUGUGGUUAAUAACCGCAGCGAUUGACGUUACUCGCAGAAGAAGCACCGGCUAACUCCGUGCCAGCAGCCGCGGUAAUACGGAGGGUGCCAGCGUUAAUCGGAAUUACUGGGCGUAAAGCGCACGCAGGCGGUCUGUCAAGUCGGAUGUGAAAUCCCCGGGCUCAACCUGGGAACUGCAUCCGAAACUGGCAGGCUAGAGUCUUGUAGAGGGGGGUAGAAUUCCAGGUGUAGCGGUGAAAUGCGUAGAGAUCUGGAGGAAUACCGGUGGCGAAGGCGGCCCCCUGGACAAAGACUGACGCUCAGGUGCGAAAGCGUGGGGAGCAAACA
rnacentral:rRNA from 1 species